ACUUUAUCGAGAGUGGUCGAGGGAACAGGCCCGUGGACACCACAGCAACCUGCUUUGGUAAGGUGCUAAAACCUGCGGUUCAAAUCCGAGUGAUGAGGA
rfam:Clostridium sp. CAG:217 genomic scaffold, scf115